rnacentral:rRNA from 1 species
AAAUGAAUUGACGGGGGCCCGCACAAGCAGUGGAUUAUGUGGUUUAAUUCGAAGCAACGCGAAGAACCUUACCAGGGCUUGACAUCCAACUAACGAAGCAGAGAUGCAUUAGGUGCCCUUCGGGGAAAGUUGAGACAGGUGGUGCAUGGUUGUCGUCAGCUCGUGUCGUGAGAUGUUGGGUUAAGUCCCGCAACGAGCGCAACCCUUAUUGUUAGUUGCUACGCAAGAGCACUCUAGCGAGACUGCCGUUGACAAAACGGAGGAAGGUGGGGACGACGUCAAAUCAUCAUGCCCCUUAUGUCCUGGGCUACACACGUAAUACAAUGGCAGCCAUACAGAGGGAGGCAAUACCGCGAGGUGGAGCAAAACCCUAAAAGCUGUCUCAGUUCAGAUCGCAGGCUGAAACUCGCCUGCGUGAAGGUGGAAUUGCUAGUAAUCGCGGAUCAGCACGCCGCGGUGAAUACGUUCCCGGGCCUUGUACACACCGCCCGU